AUUGAACGCUGGCGGCAGGCCUAACACAUGCAAGUCGAACGAGGGGCGGACGGGUGAGUAAUGUCUGGGAAACUGCCCGAUGGAGGGGGAUAACUACUGGAAACGGUAGCUAAUACCGCAUACCAUAGGAUGUGCACAGAUGGGAUUAGAUUGUAGGUGAGGUAACGGCUCACCUAGGCGACGAUCACUAGCUGGUCUGAGAGGAGGACCAGCCACACUGGAUCUGAGACACGGUCCAGACUCCUACGUGAGUCGCGAGUGGGGAAUUUUGCACAAUGGGCGCAAGCCUUGUGCAGCCCUGCCGCGUGUAUGAAGGAGGCCUGCCUGUUGUAGAGUCCUUUCAGCUGUGAGGCGUUACCCGCAGAAUAAGCACCGGCUAACUCCGUGCCAGCAGCCGCGGUAAUAC
rnacentral:rRNA from 1 species